GACGAACGCUGGCGGCGUGCUUAACACAUGCAAGUUGAACGGAAAGGCCCUGCUUUUGUGGGGUGCUCGAGUGGCGAACGGGUGAGUAACACGUGAGUAACCUGCCCUUGACUUUGGGAUAACUUCAGGAAACUGGGGCUAAUACCGGAUAGGAGCUCCUGCUGCAUGGUGGGGGUUGGAAAGUUUCGGCGGUUGGGGAUGGACUCGCGGCUUAUCAGCUUGUUGGUGGGGUAGUGGCUUACCAAGGCUUUGACGGGUAGCCGGCCUGAGAGGGUGACCGGCCACAUUGGGACUGAGAUACAGCCCAGACUCCUACGGGAGGCAGCAGUGGGGAAUAUUGCACAAUGGGCGGAAGCCUGAUGCAGCAACGCCGCGUGCGGGAUGACGGCCUUCGGGUUGUAAACCGCUUUCGCCUGUGACGAAGCGUGAGUGACGGUAAUGGGUAAAGAAGCACCGGCUAACUACGUG
rnacentral:rRNA from 1 species